rnacentral:rRNA from 1 species
AAAUUGAAGAGUUUGAUCAUGGCUCAGAUUGAACGCUGGCGGCAGGCCUAACACAUGCAAGUCGAGCGGUAGCACAGAGAGCUUGCUCUCGGGUGACGAGCGGCGGACGGGUGAGUAAUGUCUGGGAAACUGCCUGAUGGAGGGGGAUAACUACUGGAAACGGUAGCUAAUACCGCAUAAUGUCGCAAGACCAAAGUGGGGGACCUUCGGGCCUCAUGCCAUCAGAUGUGCCCAGAUGGGAUUAGCUAGUAGGUGGGGUAACGGCUCACCUAGGCGACGAUCCCUAGCUGGUCUGAGAGGAUGACCAGCCACACUGGAACUGAGACACGGUCCAGACUCCUACGGGAGGCAGCAGUGGGGAAUAUUGCACAAUGGGCGCAAGCCUGAUGCAGCCAUGCCGCGUGUGUGAAGAAGGCCUUCGGGUUGUAAAGCACUUUCAGCGGGGAGGAAGGCGUUAAGGUUAAUAACCUUGGCGAUUGACGUUACCCGCAGAAGAAGCACCGGCUAACUCCGUGCCAGCAGCCGCGGUAAUACGGAGGGUGCAAGCGUUAAUCGGAAUUACUGGGCGUAAAGCGCACGCAGGCGGUCUGUCAAGUCGGAUGUGAAAUCCCCGGGCUCAACCUGGGAACUGCAUUCGAAACUGGCAGGCUAGAGUCUUGUAGAGGGGGGUAGAAUUCCGGUGUAGCGGUGAAAUGCGUAGAGAUCUGGAGGAAUACCGGUGGCGAAGGCGGCCCCUGGACAAAGACUGACGCUCAGGUGCGAAAGCGUGGGGAGCAAACAGGAUUAGAUACCCUGGUAGUCCACGCCGUAAACGAUGUCGAUUUGGAGGUUGUGCCCUUGAGGCGUGGCUUCCGGAGCUAACGCGUUAAAUCGACCGCCUGGGGAGUACGGCCGCAAGGUUAAAACUCAAAUGAAUUGACGGGGGCCCGCACAAGCGGUGGAGCAUGUGGUUUAAUUCGAUGCAACGCGAAGAACCUUACCUGGUCUUGACAUCCACAGAACUUAGCAGAGAUGCUUUGGUGCCUUCGGGAACUGUGAGACAGGUGCUGCAUGGCUGUCGUCAGCUCGUGUUGUGAAAUGUUGGGUUAAGUCCCGCAACGAGCGCAACCCUUAUCCUUUGUUGCCAGCGGUCCGGCCGGGAACUCAAAGGAGACUGCCAGUGAUAAACUGGAGGAAGGUGGGGAUGACGUCAAGUCAUCAUGGCCCUUACGACCAGGGCUACACACGUGCUACAAUGGCAUAUACAAAGAGAAGCGACCUCGCGAGAGCAAGCGGACCUCAUAAAGUAUGUCGUAGUCCGGAUUGGAGUCUGCAACUCGACUCCAUGAAGUCGGAAUCGCUAGUAAUCGUAGAUCAGAAUGCUACGGUGAAUACGUUCCCGGGCCUUGUACACACCGCCCGUCACACCAUGGGAGUGGGUUGCAAAGAAGUAGGUAGCUUAACCUUCGGGAGGGCGCUUACCACUUUGUGAUUCAUGACUGGGGUGAAGUCGUAACAAGGUAACCGUAGGGGGAACCUGCGGUUGGAUCACCUCCUUA